rnacentral:lncRNA from 1 species
AUGCAAUAGUAUUUGGUGGGAAAGUUUUAUGUGUGCAAAGGAGUAGAGUUGGGUACCGACUGUUCAGAUCCUAAUAUUGAACACACCUGCAUGAAAUUAUGAUUAACCACCUUGGUAUUUUAACUAACAACCAGUGCUAUAAAAAUUAUUCAUGAUCUUUACCAUUUUUUUUUUCUUUUCAGUGUUUUUUUCCUUCCAUUUUUUUUUUCAACGGUCAGUAAGCC